UACGAGGGGGGCAAAUGUUGUUCGGAAUCACUGGGCGUAAAGCGCGUGUAGGCGGUUACAUAAGUCUGUUGUGAAAGUCGGAGGCUCAACCUUCGAAAGCCGAUGGAUACUGUGUGACUUGAGUACGGAAGAGGAGAGUGGAAUUCCUAGUGUAGAGGUGAAAUUCGUAGAUAUUAGGAAGAACACCAGUGGCGAAGGCGGCUCACUGGUCCGGUACUGACGCUGAGGUGCGAAAGCGUGGGGAGCAAACAGG
rnacentral:rRNA from 1 species